CACUAUGCUCGCUGGGCGAAUCAAUUAUAUGCUUUCUUACCCAAAUGCCAUGACGAGUUUUCUUGAAGCCAAGUGUGGAGAAAGUAGCUGUAGAAAUGGCGGUGGGGUACUUCAUCGGCCUCACGUCGGAAAGAUCAAAUGACAUGAACUCGAGGACGGCGGUGAGCAAAGAGCCAUAUGGAAGUGAUCGCGAGGGAUGAGAAGCGGCGACGGCCAUGUGGCGAAUGAUGAUAUACCCCAAAUUAACCCGGAUUCCCGCAAAUAGAUGAUAAAGUAGAAAAAGAUCCAUUUGUUGAACAGUGGUGUGGUGACCGUCUCGAGGAAGAAUUACUUUAGUAAGUAAAAAGUGGGUGAGGCGGUGAGGAAAGGAAAGAUGAGAGCAAUCUUCUCGUGAAGUAGAAUCUUCACAAAGAAAAUGAUUGCGGAGUUGCGUCUCAGAAAAUGCAAGAAAGUGCCAAGUGUUGGUUUAGUAGUAGUAAACGCCGUCAUUUGGAAUGUUUAAAACUGUGUAAAGACGGACAGGAGU
rnacentral:lncRNA from 1 species